UAAACCCUACACGAGGAGGUUCUACCGCCGAGCUUUGUAACGCAAGCUUAUAACCCAAGUGGGGGCUUUGAGGUUCUGGAACAUUGGCUCAGUAUUAGAGGGUCGGUUCCGGGUUGACUAUCUUCUGGCUCGCCCAUUCCAAGCCAGGAGUUGACCCAUGUGGCUCGAGCGAAGGCUCUGGGUCUCUUGGUUCCUAGAGAGGAGGGAACCGCGUAAGGCUGGCUUCACAGAGCAACGAUUACCUCCCGCUCUUGGCAGUGGAAGGAUAACGGGUCGGUGUCACUCGGAUCCACCGUGGCCCGCUAGACUGUCCCAAUUGAACCAAACCUUUUUGCGGUUUUCUUCCUCAGAUUUGGGAAGCUACAAUGCCAAAAUCAAAGUCAGAGAUGCAGGACAAAAGUGACUCAAACACUGCAAGAGUGACUGCUUCUACUUCUCUCAACUUCUCAUGAUCCUUGUUGAGGGAAGAGGAAGCGAAUUUGUUUGCUAUUGCCUUCAAACUACCCACAGCCUUGUUGAUUGUCUUUUUCACCAUCUUCCUAGAGGAUGACAUCCUUGGCACUGCUGCAAACAUCCAAGAGUCUGACGGAGCCAUCUAAUAUCUCAUUAGCCAAUUUCUCAUUCUGCUCUUGGGCU